rnacentral:snoRNA from 1 species
CUGCAGUGAUGACUUUCUUAGGACACCUUUGGAUGUAAAUAAUGAAAAUACUAUUGAAUUCUGAGCAGC